rnacentral:pre_miRNA from 1 species
ACAGCGACUACGUCCAUUGUCCGUCGGCUUCGCCCUCCCUAAGGGUGGCUAUAUGGAAUGUGGCGAAGUAUGGUCUUUCACU